GACGAACGCUGGCGGCGUGCUUAACACAUGCAAGUCGAACGGAAAGGCCCCUUUGGGGGUCCUCGAGUGGCGAACGGGUGAGUAACACGUGAGUAACCUGCCCUUGACUUCGGGAUAACUUCAGGAAACUGGGGCUAAUACCGGAUAGGAAUCCUUGCUGCAUGGUGGGGGUUGGAAAGCUUCGGCGGUUUUGGAUGGACUCGCGGCUUAUCAGCUUGUUGGUGGGGUAGUGGCUUACCAAGGCUUUGACGGGUAGCCGGCCUGAGAGGGCGACCGGCCACAUUGGGACUGAGAUACGGCCCAGACUCCGACGGGAGGCAGCAGUGGGGAAUAUUGCACAAUGGGCGGAAGCCGGAUGCAGCAACGCCGCGGGCGGGAGGACGGCCUUCGGGUUGGAAACCGCUUUCAGCAGGGGCGAAGCUUGUGGUGACGGUACCUGCAGAAGAAGCACCGGCUAACUACGUG
rnacentral:rRNA from 1 species